CAAUCUUUACACUGCGCCGAGUUUCCUCCUGUGAGAGGAAGUUAAAGACAAACUACAUCACUCUGACGACACGUGAUGCCUUCACGUGCACCUCGGAAAUAACACACUGCGUCUGUCUCCUGGAACAACCACGUGUUCAUCGGUGAAAUAUGACUGGACCAGGAAAAGUCCUCGUGGUGUCACUCUGAUGGAGCGUUGGACGUGAGGCCUCCUGCACAGUCGUAGGAUUUGUCAGCCUGAAUAAAAAGUGAUUUCAUGAUGACAUGUUUCAUCCAGAAAAUACAAAUGUCAUUCACCUCA